UUCCCAGGGAAGGAAACAUUCACAGGUUUCUGAGAUUAGGACAUGGAUAUUUUAGGGCCAUUAUUUGGCCUCCCACAGAACCUAAACAUGCUUAGACCCCCCUCCUUAAGGAUUCUAGUUUAGUAGGUGGGGCCAGGACAUGUAUAUUUUUCAAAAUAUGUGCCUGAUUAAGCAUCUCUCAUCUAGCACAUAGCUUUAUCCAACCUUCAGUUGCUUAUAAUUUUAUCUCUGACGUUUUAUUUAGAUGGCUCCAAUGCUGACUGGGCAGCACAUACACCAAGAAUUUGACUACUGGCUAUCUCCUUGAACCCUCAUGUGCUUUCAAAGUAGCUAAUGAGGCCUAGAGUUGCCACCAGGCCUGCUAAGGCAACCACAGCCACCACAGUCUUAAAAGCAGCAUAUCCGGCUGCCCCGUGCCCUUUCAAGUCCACAGCGUCUGGUGCUCUGCGGGCCUGCCAUGAAACCAGAGUUCCUUGAAAUUGGCUCCAGGUGAGUAAAUUGGUGUUUUUCUCCAUAACACUGGGCAAAAUUAGUUUCUUUGGGCGAAAUAUUUACAACUCCAAUGUAGAGUGAAAGAAGGUGGUGGGUUUUAUUGAGGAAAGAAUAUCUUUUGUUCGUAUCACCUUUCCUUGAAGUAACCCCUAGUCUCCUGGCUAUGGUGGACAUUACCCUGGCAAUGUAAUGUACCUGUAAAGUACCUUUACAGAAAAUGGAUGGUAUAUUUCCCCCAAGUAUAAAAGUUUAAGCAUACUGCAAAAAAUGCAGACAAUUAGAGAAGGAUAUAGAGAAAAGGAAAAAGUCAUCUGUAACUGUUCCACUGCUAAUAUUUAGAUAUGUAACUUUAUGGACUUUUUAUACAAACACCACACACACUUAAAACCAACAACCCAGAAUCAAAGUUUAAGUUAUGCUUUGUAACCUGAUUUUACUAUUUUACAUGUCAUGGACAUUUUUUGUAUCAAACAUAAAGAUCUCCAUUACCAUUUUUAAGGUUGCAUUAUGUUCAGUGUGUAGAUAAAUCAGUGUUUAACUGUUCCCAAUGAUAGACAUUACAAAAACUUUCAAUUUUUCAUCAUCAUAAACCAUAAUAUGAUGGACAUUCUUGUAUAUUUCCCUGGUUAACGCUUGGGAUGAAUUCCUGGAGGUAGAAAUUCUGGGUCAAAGAGAGUAGUGAUGUAAAUAAGGAUGUCAUCUUUUUGUACCAGCGGGGAGUUUACACGUGGGGAAACUGAGGCAAAGCAACCUGCCCAGCCUAUUGAAAGCUGGGUGUCAGAGCCAUGUUGAGAACUCAGAUUUUCUAAGGCCCAACCAAUGUACCUUUUCAGCAUCUCUCAUUGCAAUUUGAGACACCUAGAUGUUUGAGAUCCAUGUUCUAUUAAUAAGCGGUUAGUGUUCAAAUUCUGUACAAGUCGUGGGAUCGCAUUUGCAAUUAUUGAUGUAUGUGUUGUCCUUGUGUAGUUACUUUAAGAGUAAUCGCCACGCCUUGUUACAGGUGUCUGAUAUUCAGUUGGAGGUUAGAGGAGUAUUUCCCCAACUUCCUUGAUCAAAACGUCACAUGCGGCUCUCAUUAACAGCACAAAUUCCUGGGUCUCACCAAAAGCUGUGGAAUCAGGCUCUUCAGGGGAGGGUCCCGAGUGGAUGUAUUGUUUAACAAGCACCACAGAUGAGUCUUAAGAUCAAGGAAAUUUGGCAAAUACUCUGAGGGAGGGAGGCAAGAAAAUGAGUGGUUGCUAGCAGUUAACUUCUUCAUAGGAAUUAACCCAUUAUGUUAUAUGGAAUUGAGGAGUGGAAGCAAAAGCCAGGAUAAACAGGUUUCUGGGAGUAGAGAUGGUGAAAGGAUUUAGAUUCUGAGCAGAGGCACGAUAGCAAUAGUUACUCCUUUCCUCUGAAGCAUAUUUUCCAAAAAGUGACACCUUUUCUGCAAAUGUGAAAGUAUUCUACCAUGAUGGUAGUAGAGGAUGGAGCGUGGGGGGAAGAUUCAGAGAGACCUGGUAAGAAGGUGGUCAGAGAGGCAAUAGGCUAAUGUGUUGCUCUACCUUCUGAGGCCACACCCCCAGGCUCCCAGCCCCCAAAUUGUGUUUUUUCUCCAGAGUGUGAUGUCUUGCCGUAGAAAGGGCACCUCUGGUCUCAGCCCCAAACUGGGGGUUCUGGGAGACUAAGGGCAGCACAAAAGCCCUGAGCAGGAGGCAUGGAAAGGAGGAGGACCACUGUGGGUGCUGGUGAAGUUGGUGAGCACACCAGAGACUAAUUUCAUUAGCACACUUUGCUAAUCACUACAAGGCAUUCCCUCCCCCUCCGAAUGGGUCUCUCCCAGAGGGUCCUGAGGUCACUUAACCACUUGCUAAUCACCAGGCAUUUCUUGAAGGGAAUUUUAGGUUGUUAUGCAUAAAGAACAAGGCCGUGUUGUUGCCUCAUUUAGGCAGGUGCCCUCCUUACUUCUGAAAAACAGUUCUUAUAAGCACCAGUUUACAAUUCUUAAAUUCCAG
rnacentral:lncRNA from 1 species